GCUUUUUGACUAGUGGAAAUGUUCCCAGUACUGUUACAGUAACUUUAGAAUAUUAGAAUGUAAACUGAAGAAGGUAAAGUAAGUGUGUGGCUUUUAUACAGAUAGAUUUUUAGAGGAGGUGGUCUCAUAUUCAUUCAUUUCAUAGGAGGAAAUUCUCAUAUCUUUCCUGUUAUUCAUCAUCUAACUUGUCAUUGUUAAAAGUAGCUGAAUUUGCAAAGCAUAGAUCAUCUAACAAUGGGCUAUUUGCCUUGAAAGUCAAAGGCAAUCCAAUGGCAGAACAUUGUAUUGUGGCAGAAGGUUAAAAAAAUUUCCCAGUUUUGAGAAUAUCUUGGUUACUGUUUGGAACACUGAACCCACAUGUUAGCCAUAUGAAAUAGGAAAGAUACAUAAAAAAAAAAAAAAAAAGCAGAAAUAAAAUGGGAUUAAAAAAAUAAAAUAUGGUUCCCUCUGCUGUAACUAAAACCACCUUCAUUUUGAUUCCCAGAACUGGCCACUACAGGAAGAAACAUUGAAACAUUUCAUUCAUGAGUGGGAUCAAAUUUGCUUAAUUCCUGCCAAGUCUCCACCAGAAAAGGAAUUUCCAACAGCCACUGGAGAUAAAGAUGUGGUCAACGUGGUUCAAUUUCCAGCUAGGACAUAAUUUGCACAAUAACCUGAAGUUGAAAUUAAUACUAAGAAACAAGCUGUACUGUGCGUAAGAAAAAUCCAUUAACCCAUCUGCAUUAGAGGGAGAAGCUGACCAAUGGAGUUGAAGCACAUUUGUUAUACUCUAAGAAGAAAGUUUCAGACAAAUAUCACAGGAACCAGGAUGACACUCCAAUAAGGUAACUUUAGGUUUAAUCUUAGCUGCAAAUAAGAAUAUUAUUAUGAUGAUUUAUCUUGUCUAAAGGACUCAGAAGAAAUCAGAUCCCUAAUGUGAAAUCAUAUCCAGCAGAAGUUGUUACCUUCCAAGUGGAGCUUGUUUCUUAAGUAGGUAAAGGUAAGGAUUCACUUCAAGAUAGAAGAACAAAACUGAGUUGUCCAAAGUGAUAGUGUUGGUCAGUAACAGAGCUAA
rnacentral:lncRNA from 1 species